rnacentral:rRNA from 1 species
CACUUAGAGGAAGGAGAAGUCGUAACAAGGUUUCCGUAGGUGAACCUGCGGAAGGAUCAUUCGCACUGAUCUGUCUUCAACCAUGUGAACUUAAGCGUGAGGGAAUGUUUGCAGCUUUGCUGUUCGCAGCAUGAUGCGCAAACAGGAACUCGGGGGCAACAGGCAGCUGGGCGGACGUCCAACCUGUGACGGUUACCUAACUGUCCUGUUGUCAGUGGCCUUCCUUUAGGCCUUUGCUCAUGCUCCGGCAGGAUGCGGUUGCUCUUUUGCUGCAGCGUGGGAUGGAAGUUUGCUAAUGUGAGCGCAACUUUCAGCGACGGAUAUCUCGGCUUGGGCACCUAUGAAGGGCGCAGCGAAACGCGAUAAUCUUUGUGAAUUGCAGAACCCCGUGAACCAAUGGCCUCCUGAACGCGCAUUGCACUCUUGGGCUUCCCUGGGAGUAUGUUUGCUUCAGUGCUUCUUUUGCUCAACCAUUGCAAGGUUUGGCAGUGCAAUGCCUCCCUGUGCCUCGGCGUGUUGUUGGCGUGUCUGCCAAUGACGUGCGACCAGCGUGGCCUAUGUGCAAGCAUGCACGUGCUUUGUUGUUUCACUGCAGACAUUCUCCGGAAUAUGCGUGGGCGACGUGGCUGAUGCUUGCGGACGCGCUAGUGUGCUGCUUGCACUUCUUCCA